rnacentral:lncRNA from 1 species
GCGCACCAAAACCUGUUGCGGCCAAUCCCCUCGUCGCCUGGUCGUCGGAAAACGAGCACCUGCAAAAGAAGUCCACACUGACCGGAGAUGCCUCCGACGGGGACCCUCCGACGGUCAAGUCAGAGAGAAGACUAGGCAACAAUAGAGAGGAAUCAGGGGACUCAGCAAUGGAGAGAGGAAGAGAGGUUCUCCCCCCGUAAGCUGCUGCCUUACCCCGUUUUAUAGUAAGAGGUGAUAUGGUCCCGUCG